CCAGUGUGGCCUUUUCGUCCAGGGGACUACUUGAGUUGAGCUCAAAGUGGAACCAUAAAUAUUCAAGUGAGAGGAGGCCAGUGGAGGAAAGCUCUCAGUAAGACACCUGGAAGGCACAAUGGAACUCAGGACUGUGUAAUACAACCGCCAUCAUCUUCUCAAGGCAUACAGGGACGUGGUCUUGUUCGUCACACUGAACCUGAGGACACAGAUGAUGCCUCGGAGUAGCACUCUGAUGUUCCCAGUUCCUCCUCUCUCACGCAGCAUUAAAAAGUCUGGAUAAAAGUGACCCUAGAUGCCCGGCGAGAUUCUGUCGUCACACACAUGCACACACACACACAGUCACA